GGGGUCGGUGCAAUUCCGAACCGGCGGUAAGGAGCGACAGCUUCGAGCCCGCGACCCGUUGACAUCCAGUCAACGGUGGAUCUGGUGAGAUUCCAGGGCCGACGGUGAAAGUCCGGAUGGUAGUU
rnacentral:ncRNA from 1 species